UACAGAGGGGGCCAGCGUUAUUCGGAAUUACUGGGCGUAAAGGGCGCGUAGGUGGCCUUCUAAGUUGAACGUGAAAUCCCUGGGCUCAACCCAGGAACUGCGUCCAAGACUGGGAGGCUUGAAUCCGGGAGAGGGAUGCGGAAUUCCAGGUGUAGCGGUGAAAUGCGUAGAUAUCUGGAGGAACACCGGUGGCGAAGGCGGCAUCCUGGACCGGGAUUGACACUGAGGCGCGAAAGCCAGGGGAGCAAACGGG
rnacentral:rRNA from 1 species